UACGAGUGCCCCAAGCGUUAUCCGGAUUUAUUGGGCGUAAAGAGUCUGUAGGCGGCUAUGAAAGUUGAUGGUCAAAUCCUAAAGCUCAACUUUAGGACUGCCACCAAAACUUCAUAGCUAGAGGUUGGGAGAGGUAGAUGGAAUUGCCGGUGUAGGGGUAAAAUCCGUUAAUAUCGGCAAGAACACCAAAUGCGAAAGCUUUCUACUGGAACAAUUCUGACGCUGAGAGACGAAAGCGUGGGGAGCGAAUGGG
rnacentral:misc_RNA from 1 species